rnacentral:sRNA from 1 species
GCUGGGCACGGUGGUGCACACCUGUAAUCCCAGUGGCUUGGGAGGCUGAGGCAGGAGGAUCUAGAGUUCAAAGCCAGCCUCAU